GCAGACCACUCCUACGGAGGCAGCAGUGGGGAAUAUUGCACAAUGGGCGCAAGCCUGAUGCAGCCAUGCCGCGUGUAUGAAGAAGGCCUUCGGGUUGUAAAGUACUUUCAGCAGUGAGGAAGGUGGAUAUGUUAAUAGCAUAUUCAUUUGACGUUAGCUGCAGAAGAAGCACCGGCUAACUCCGUGCCAGCAGCCGCGGUAAUACGGAGGGUGCGAGCGUUAAUCGGAAUUACUGGGCGUAAAGCGCAUGCAGGUGGUUUGUUAAGUCAGAUGUGAAAGCCCGGGGCUCAACCUCGGAAUUGCAUUUGAAACUGGCAAACUAGAGUACUGUAGAGGGGGUAGAAUUUCAGGUGUAGCGGUGAAAUGCGUAGAGAUCUGAAGGAAUACCGGUGGCGAAGGCGGCCCCCUGGACAGAUACUGACACUCAGAUGCGAAAGCGUGGGGAGCAAACAGGAUUAGAUACCCUGGUAG
rnacentral:rRNA from 1 species